rnacentral:misc_RNA from 1 species
CUAAACCAAACUCUACCCCACCCGCAAACGCUUGUGUCUCUGCCAUAAAGCGAGCUGGACAGGAAAGAAUUAGCGCGGCAUUCCAUUCCAUCUCCACGCCUCCAAAGCACCAGACAUCCGUCCAUGACGACGUCGUCCAGCGAGGUCACGGUGUGCUCCCACCUGUUCACGGUGAGAGGCUACACCCACACCAGGGGCAUCGGCGUCGGCAGGUCCAUCGAGUCGCAGGCGUUCGACGCGGCCGGCCACCGCUGGUCCGUCGUGUUCUACCCGGACGGCGACGACCAGGACGCGAGGGGCCACAUCUCUAUCUUCGUCAGGCUCAUCGGCAGCGGCGGCGCCGGAGACGUCACGGUGCUCUACGGCUUCAGCCUCGUCGACCCGAGUGGCGCCGCGCCGGCGUCGGAGGCCUCCAAGGCCCCCAAGGUCGCCACGUUCAGACAUUCGGCGGGCGGCGACUACAGAGGUAUCGGCCGCUUCAUGGAGCACCAGAGGUUCGAGGCGUCUCCGUACCUGCGGGACGACUGCUUCACCAUCAAGUGUAUCAUCGGCGCCGUCGAGAGGCCCGGCCUGCCGCCGCUGCCGGCGGCGGCCUCGGAGCUGCACCACGAUUUCGACCGACUUGCGGUAGACGGCGGCCGUUCGGAGGACGCCAUGUCCGACGUCGACUGAGGAAGCCAUGCUGCUGUGCACUGUGCUAUGCUCCUCUUCCUCUAACCUCUACUAUGCAACGAGCGCAGCUGCGCAGGUGUAUCAUCAGCAAGGCCGAAAAUAAAAAAAAAGAAAAGAAAAGAAAACCGACUUGUAGGCCUCUUGCAGGAGCUUGUUCACAGCCUCUUAUGGGUCCCGAAUGGAUCUGGUCAUCGCGAUUCGCGACAGCUUCCUGCAUGGCAAACAUUGUAAACAGGUGGUACUGAGCACAAAG